GUUCAGUUUCUUGCACAGACCGAUCGUUUCGUGUCUUUACACAUCAAUGUAUCACAAGCCGCAGGCUUUAAUUUGGUUUAGUUUGUGUAUGUUUUUUUGACUUUAUUAUUUGCUUUAGCGGUG